UUGGGAUCGGUGAGGGGGGAUUGUGGUUUUAUUCAAACUCACCAUCCCCUCCGCUGGCCCCAA
rnacentral:pre_miRNA from 1 species